GGAAGGGUGGCCGAGUGGUCGAAGGCGGCUGACUCGAAAUCAGCUGUGGGUCCUGCCCACCGGGGGUUCGAAUCCCUCCCCUUCCG
rfam:Halorhodospira halophila SL1, complete genome.